rnacentral:rRNA from 1 species
UGAGUAACACGUAUCCAACCUGCCGUCUACUCUUGACAGCCUUCUGAAAGGAAGAUUAAUACAAGAUGGCAUCAUGAGUCCGCAUGUUCACAUGAUUAAAGGUAUUCCGGUAGACGAUGGGGAUGCGUUCCAUUAGAUAGUAGGCGGGGUAACGGCCCGCCUAGUCUUCGAUGGAUAGGGGUUCUGAGAGGAAGGUCCCCCACAUUGGAACUGAGACACGGUCCAA